CAAUAGAGGCGCGGACAGCAGGGUACCCGUUCGAUCGGCAGGGCAGCCGGAAAAUCGCUCGGGAAAGGGGUUGUCCGCCGAAGGAAACGGAUGCGCCCGAUCCGGUUCCUGGCGUCGCCGUGUAAGCGGCGGUGCUGUCAUGUUCAAAGAGCAUGGAGCGCUAUUGGU
rnacentral:ncRNA from 1 species